GGGUGACUAGUCUAGUGGUCAGGACGCUUCGUUGUGGGAUUUCGCCUAAAAAACGGCUCCCUUUGGAAUCUCCCGGUUCCCAACGACCGAAGAAACCCCGGUUCGAUUCCGGGGUCGCCCA